UAGGGAAUCUUCCACAAUGGACGCAAGUCUGAUGGAGCAACGCCGCGUGAGUGAAGAAGGCUUUCGGGUCGUAGAACUCUGUUGUUGGAGAAGAAUGGUCGGCAGAGUAACUGUUGUCGGCGUGACGGUAUCCAACCAGAAAGCCACGGCUAACUACGUG
rnacentral:rRNA from 1 species